rnacentral:rRNA from 1 species
AUCAACGCUGGCGGCGUGCCUAACACAUGCAAGUCGAACGCGAAAGGGGCUUCGGUCCUGAGUAGAGUGGCGAACGGGUGAGUAACACGUGGGUGAUCUACCUUCGAGUGGGGGAUAACGUUCCGAAAGGAACGCUAAUACCGCAUGACGUUCUGGGUUUAAAGACCUGGAAACCAAAGCCGGGGACCGCAAGGCCUGGCGCUAGAAGAGGAGCCCGCGUCCGAUUAGCUAGUUGGCGGGGUAACGGCCCACCAAGGCGACGAUCGGUAGCCGGCCUGAGAGGGCGGACGGCCACACUGGAACUGAGACACGGUCCAGACUCCUACGGGAGGCAGCAGUGGGGAAUUGUUCACAAUGGGCGCAAGCCUGAUGACGCAACGCCGCGUGGGGGAUGAAGGUCUUCGGAUUGUAAACCCCUGUCGAAUGGGACGAAAGACUCUGGAGCUAAUCAUCCGGAGAGUGACGGUACCGUUAAAGGAAGCCACGGCUAACUCUGUGCCAGCAGCCGCGGUAAUACAGAGGUGGCAAGCGUUGUUCGGAAUUACUGGGCGUAAAGGGCGCGUAGGCGGCCUUCUAAGUCAGACGUGAAAUCCCCCGGCUUAACCUGGGAACUGCGUCUGAUACUGGGAGGCUUGAGUAUGGGAGAGGGAUGUAGAAUUCCAGGU